AGGUUGGCAAGUUGUCUACUGGGGAUACUCUGGACAUGUCUCUCUAGGAUGAGGAGGUGAUACUGAGAAAUGCAGCUACAAUAAAGGAUAUGGAGCAAGAGGAUAAUGACCCCUUCACAUAAAGACACAUGCUCUAUUUGGCAGCCCAACUUUGGGCUGCAUCCGGUACAAGCAACAGCAGCAGGGGUGGUAAUUUUCAGCUGUUGUGGCUACUGUGCUGUUGCAGCUGCAGCUGAAGCAGUAGCCAGCUGAACAUGCUGACAUGUUCUUGCGGGUGGUCAAGGCUCAGUAUUCAGAGCAGAAGAUGCACAUAAAUACUGGUGAAUGAUGCCAUUGACGAUGAUGAAUUGAUGAAACGAUGGAUGAUGCCAUCGAUGAAAGAUGGAAUGGAACUCAAAUUUUGGUGGUCGCACAAGUGUGGAGACAUGAAUUUAUAUAUACUUAGUUAGGCUCAAUGUUAGCACAAACAGUUGAUACAGUUGAUGAGCAAGUUUGAAUUUAGAGUACACUUAUGUAUGAGUUAUUUGACAAUGCUUAUUUAUUAGAUAUUGAAUGGUAUUUAUCUAUAUUAUAUUA